rnacentral:misc_RNA from 1 species
GAUGAAGAACGCAGCGAAAUGCGAUAAGUAAUGUGAAUUGCAGAAUUCAGUGAAUCAUCGAAUCUUUGAACGCAUCUUGCGCUCCUUGGUAUUCCUUGGAGCAUGCCUGUUUGAGUAUCAUGAGCAAACCUCAAAGUCAAUUCCUUUUGUUAAUUCAAUUGGUUUUGCUUUGGACUUGGGGGUCUUGCAGAUUUCACAGUCUGCUCCUCUUAAAUGCAUUAGCUGGAUCUCAGUAAUUAUGCUUGGUUCCACUCGGCGUGAUAAGUAUCACUCGCUGAGGACACUGUUAAAAAGGUGGCCAGGAAAAUACUGAUUGAACCGCUUCUAACGGUCUAUUAAGUUAGACAAUUACCCUUAAGUUUGAUCUCAAAUCAGGUAGGACUACCCGCUGAACUUAAGCAUAUCAAUAAGCGGAGGA